GAGAGCCGUAUGCGGUGAAAAUUGCACGUACGGUUCGGGAACAAGUUUCUAUAUUCCAGAAAUGGAUGUGGUUACUGAGUUUCAU
rnacentral:ncRNA from 1 species